AAGAACAUCGAUAGCAGCCAUUCUUUUUUGUUGACUUUCAGCAACGCAACCAUUUUCUAAAAAGAAAAAGCUGAACCAAAAAUCGUAAAGAGAGAACGGCUUAAAACAGAAAACAAAAAAAGAGUCCAAAGAGAGGGGAAAACGAGAAUGAGAGGGGACGACGAUUCAGUCCAACAAACAUAGGGGAAAACUCGAGCUUAGGUAGAAAAUUGACUGAGAUUUGGGAAAUUCUUUUGGUCUUUUGAUUACUUCUUUAAGAUUUGUUUCUGCUCAUCCUCACAAUUUCAAAAUACAUACGAAGAAGAAAAAGUAAAAAUGCUUCUAUUAGUUGGUGAUUGAAUUUCAAAAAUACCAAAAUAUAUACACAUAUUACUGUUAGUUUCUUCCUUUUGAUGUGAGUAUUCAAUUAUGGAGUUUGAUUGAGACUUGAGACGCCGUUGAGUCGAAGUUACCGUUCGUGUUUCCAUCAUGGUUCACGGAUCGUCUUUGGUGUUGCUCUUCUCGAUUGAUUUUUCAGAGCCGGGGUUCUGUAUCUACGGAUUCUUCUACACUAAUUUAAGAGAUUUUACUCCAGAGGUGGAUGCUCGACGAGUCGACACGUGUAAGCAAAUAUAGGUAGGAUAUAAGUCGGCAAGAUGUUGGUACCGAUUAUGAACAUGUGACCGGUGAUGUAUAAGUUCCGAAGGCAUUGGAACUUUUUACGAGGAUUCGAAAGGAAGAUAUCAGUUGGAAAAGAAAGCAUUCAAUGAUCAUCCUUUACGAAGAAUCUUUGUAUUAACGCCCAACCAUUAUGCAAACAUCAAGAGGGGUUUUAUUCAUAUUAAAUAAGAGCUUGAUUUGAGAAACUUGUCUCAUAUAAAUAGGAGGAUUUGUAUCCAUUGUUGGACACGAAACAUUUUGUAUGCAAAAAAGGUAAAACUAGCUCUUAUUUUAUUAAAUAACAUUCUUUUUUUUGUUCUUCA